ensembl:ncRNA C35C5.20 ncRNA
AGGCCUGGGGGUCGCCGCCAUGCUUUUUCGUUUCGCACUUCUUUUUCUUCUAUUUUUCUUCUUCUUUCUUCCUUAUUCCCGCCACGACGCGAACCAAGGAGUGCCCCCUUUCCCGCCGUAAUAGGAAUGAAAUGUGGAAUAGUGCGCCAAAAGUUUCGGGAGGCGCAUAAAUUGAUGUGUCCGAGAAUACGCGCGGCCCCAUGACCCAUCACUCGCUUCUACGGAACACAAUCCAACGCUCGCUCUUCUUUGGGAUACUACAAAAAGAAGUAGUAGGAUUGAAGAAAAGAAAAGU